AGAAUGAAGAAUAAAGAGUUUUAUGAUCCAAUUAUGUCAGUUUUAAAAGUUUUAAAAGUGUUACUAGGUUUCUAAAUGUCUCAAAGUUUUAAUAAAGCAAGAAUUAUGCAUAUAUGACUAAGUAUACUUAUUUAUAAUUUAUCUACUCACUAAGUUACAAACUCAUAUUUUGUUACCCUUUUCUUAGCAGAUAUGUUGAGCAGCCUUGGAGCCUGUCGAUCAACCGAAAGUGCCACACACACACAUUGUCAUUAGAUGUAUGACUCAUUUCGUCAAUUUAUAUAGUUCAAAUUUCGUUUAGGAUACAUGUAUGUUUUGACAGAAACGUUAAUUGGUAAUUUAUAGAUCCAUAUCAUGGGCUCACUACAAAUUUAGUAUUCUCAUUUCUUUUGGGGUCUUUUGUUUAUAAAUCAUGAUAAAUGUCUUGAAUAGUUUGUAUUUUGAAGGACUAGCAUGUUAUAUUUUAAAUUAUAUAUACAGUUUUGAUAAAGUUGAUAUUUGUUCAGAUGAUUUAGUCCAUAUUUUAAAAGAAAUUUUGUCAAAAUUUUUAUACAAAUAUGUCAUAGUUAAAGUAGGUCAAGUUUGUCUUGGUGGUGGGUCCAGCACUUAGCUGGUAUCUAUUAUUGGUGCACGACAUGUGUCGGGUCUAUUAGAGGGAUUCGGGACGAGUCGUGUCACGUUAAGCCUGAAUUUUAAACUUUUCAUGCUAGCAUCCUAUAUGACCCAAAAGAAAGAGUGGUGAAUAACAAGUUAACAAUUAAAACCCUGAAACUUUUUUAUUGUAACUAUAUAAAAUGGUAAUGAGAUUAGAUUUUGGGAUGAUUGUUAGCGUGAAGAUCAACAGUUGAAGGAGAGAUUUCCUUCCUUGUGCCGCAUUGCCUCAGUACCCUCUGCUAUGGUGAGUGAUCUAUUAGUCAUUCAUAAUGGGAGCUAUAACUGGAAUAUUACUUUUGGGAGGGGUCUACAGGAUUGGGAAUUGGAUAAUUAUUCGUUAUUUAUGACCUUUCUACAUGAGGCACAAAUUCGGGGUAGGAAAGAGUGAUUGUAUCAGGUGGAGGAUAGCAUGGGAUGACAUUUUUUUAGUUCGCUCUUACUUUGGUUCCUUUAUGGGAUAUGUGGAUAAUUCAUUCCUCUGGAAGUUGGUGUGGCAAUGUAAAUUGCUUUUUUGGGUGGCAUUCUUAUUGUGGACAGUUGUGAGGAAACAGAUCUCAACGGUGGAUAAUCUUCGACGUAAGGGCUUCUACGUAACCGAGUAGUGUUAUAUGUGCAAGAAGGAUGGGGAAAUGAUAGAUCAUUUGUUCAUUCAUUGUGAUAGUGUUUGUUGGAUUUGGAACAGUAUAUUCGGUUCUUAAUCUAUGGAUUGGGUGAUGCCUCGUCGUAUAGAGGACGUGAUACGAGCAUGACGAAGAAAAUUUCGUGAUAAGAAUAGCAAACUAGCAUGACAUCUUAUUCCAAGUUGCAUUGUAUACACUAGUGGAUCCAGCACCGCGAUCGU
rnacentral:lncRNA from 1 species